UACGAAGGUGGCUAGCGUUGCUCGGAAUUACUGGGCGUAAAGCGCACGUAGGCGGAUUGUUAAGUCGGGGGUGAAAUCCUGGGGCUCAACUCCAGAACUGCCUUCGAUACUGGCGAUCUCGAGUUCGGGAGAGGUGAGUGGAACUGCGAGUGUAGAGGUGAAAUUCGUAGAUAUUCGCAAGAACACCAGUGGCGAAGGCGGCUCACUGGCCCGAUACUGACGCUGAGGUGCGAAAGCGUGGGGAGCAAACAGG
rnacentral:rRNA from 1 species